rnacentral:pre_miRNA from 1 species
ACACAAAGCACCUGAGGAUCUUGUUAAAAUGCAGAUUUUGAUUCAGAAGGUCUGGGGUGGGACCUGAGAUUCUGCAUUUCAAACAACCUCCCAGGUGAUUCCAAU